rnacentral:lncRNA from 1 species
UUUUUUUUUUUUUUUUUUUUUUUGGCUUACACUUCCACAUUGCUGUUUAUUACUGAAGGAAGUCAGGAAAGAAACUCAAAUGGGGUGGGAACCUGGAGGCAGAAGCUGAUGCAGAGGUUGUAGAGGAGUGCUGCUUAUUGGCUUGCUCCUCAUGGCUCCCUCAGCCUGCUUUAUUUGUAGAACCCAGGACCACCAGCCCAAGGAUGGUAUCACCUAAAAUGGUCUGGGCCCUUCCCCAUCAAUCACUAAUUAAGAAAAUGCUUUAUAGCUGGAGCCUAUGGAGUAAUUUUCUCUGGUGAGGCUCCCUCCUCUUAGAUGACUCUAGCUUGUGUCAAGCUGACAUAAAAGUAGGCAGCACAAACACUUAAUAAGUAAUUGAUAAAUUCUAGCUCAUAACUUCAAAUCUACUCAUUAUAUCUUCAUCCAUAUCAACCAUGAACAUGUAGUUUAUUCUGUAGUCUCCUAUUUAAUUUAUUAUCUGUCCUUCUCUUUAAAGUGUGUGCUCCCCAAGGGCAGGGCACUAUGGGAGCCUUCUCAGUGUAUGGUGGCAUUCCUGUGCUCUGGGGCAGUGUCUGUAAAGUGCGUACUCUUGACCAAUCAAUGGGUGAGAACCAGAAACGACGGAGGACUUACUGGGAAGCAGCAGAGCUGAGCUUGACAUUUAGCCAUGCGACUGAAGAACUUGCUGGAGCUUUUCUGGGUCUCCACUUCUUGAAUUUUGUUGCCCAGAGAACCUCAAAAUCUCAUAUAGCUCUAGCAUUCUGUGUGAAUGUACAUAACCUCAGACUCAGACAGUAGAACUGUGGCGAAUGUGCACAUAUACGAUGUGGGAAGGGAGGAAGAGAAAGAGAAAAGAAGAGAUGACAUGAUGCUUUCUUGGUAGUUUUUUUUUUUAAUUUAAAUACUUUCUUGAUCCUUAGUUAAAACAGUGGUUCAUUGGUUUCACAAAUAAAUAGGAUUUAAAAUAUGGUAUAAAAAUAUCUAAAACUUUCUUGGCUGUUCCCAUUAUUGAGGAAACUAUCUCCUGAGUCCUAUUUCUCAAGGGCUGUUUCGUCUUCAUAGUGUUGAAGGCUCACGACACCUUUAAAAAGUGUUUGCCUGUUUGUAAGUUUUAUAACAUAAUUAAUUAAUGUUGAGACCUACACAUGUAAGUACUGGAUUUACUUCACCUCCCUCCCCCACCAUUUCUUCCCUCUAAUUCCUCCUGUGCCCUCAAUAAAACUCAUGGCCUCUUAUUCUUUUAAACACAUGGGCGCACAUGCGUGUGCGUGCGCGCGCGCACACACACACACACACACACACACACACACACACACACACACUCACACUGAUAAGUACAACCUACUGAGUCCCUUUAGUGAUGGUCAUUUCUUUUUUUUUCUUCCCCCUUUGAUUUUUUUGUUUUGUUUUUUUGAGACAGGAUUUCUCUGUGUAGCCCUGGCUGUCCUGGAACUCACUCUGUAGACCAGGCUAUUUUUGAACUCAGAAAUCUGCCUGCCUCCGCCUCCCAAGUUCUGGGAUUAAAGACGAGGGCCACCAUGGCAUGAUGCUCAUUUCUAAUCUAUCAGGGGACUCUUCUCAAAGACUGAUCCUCCACCCAGCAGUCAUUAACUCCCUGUAGCUUUUCAUCUAACCAUUGGCCUUGUGAGAUUCUCCUAUCCACUUUAGUGUGUGUUGUCAUUUUCCAGGUCUUGUUCAGGCAACCAUAUUGUUGAGACAUCGUAAGUGUAGCUUUUCUCGCUGUCAUUUACAGAAGAUACCAUUUGAGAGCUGAUGUCCCUGUCCUCUGGCUCUUACAACCUUUCCUCAUUCUCUCCUAUGAUGUUCCCUGAGCUUUAGGUAUAGGGUCUGUGUUGUAGGUACAUCAGGUGAAGCUGGGCACCCCACAGUCAGUGAGUCUCUGCACUUUGACCAGCUAUGACUUUCUGGAAUAGUCUCUGUCUUCUGAAAAACAAAGUAGAAGCUUCUUUGAUGGAGGUGAGGGAUACACUCAUCUGCAGGCCUAAGGGUAGUUAGAAUAUAGUUAAAAAUUAUACUGUCUUAGGAAAGUGGUUCCUUCUCGGGCCCAUGACCUCAUCAAACAUGAUAGCUGGUUAGGUUUACAGUGCCAGGUGUGAAUUCUUUCCUGUUGAGCCUUAAGUGCAAUUAGACAACUGUCCAUUAACCCCAGACAAUAAGUGCCACUGUCACACUGUCUCAUCCUUGUUGAAGUCUCCGGACACUGGAUUUAGGAGGGCUGUUCAUCACCUUUCCCCCUUGGCAGCCUGCCUAGCGUCCUCUGGGGCUAUAAGAGUUAGUCCUCAGGGAGGAGGCUUCUGGGUCAGAUUCAGUUGGUUUCCUUCAAGCCCUCUGUCCGACAUGCAUCUUCAGCAAUAUGAUCCUACUUUCAAAGUCUAGGAUGUAACCAAAGGCUUUGGCACAAUUGUUCGGGGAGUCCUUGUCUUCCCUUGACUAGGAACUCAAUGGGGAGCUUCCUAUCCUGGGCAUUUGGAGUUUUGUUAGGUAAUCUAUGGCUUCUGGGAGGAGCACUAACACCCUAAAUGGCGUGAAAACUUAAACAAAAACUUUAUUAACACACACACAGAUAUUUCAUGUGAUAUUAAGUAAACAGGGUAAUAUUCCCUAUGGCCUUUUAAAAUGUCAUUAGUAUUUAUCAUGUUAUUUUAAUGAUAAAAUUUAUUCAGAUUUGUGAUCUCAUCAGAGGGGAAAAAGCCUAAGAAAG